CAAAUGUUAUUUGUCACUUCGUAAACAACAGGUGUGGACUAACAGUGAAAUGCUUGGUAAACAACAGGUGUGGACUAACAGUGAAAUGCUUGGUAAACAACAGGUGUGGACUAACAGUGUAAUGCUUGGUAAACAACAGGUGUAGACUAACAGUGUAAUGCUUGGUAAACAACAGGUGUAGACUAACAGUGUAAUGCUUGGUAAACAACAGGUGUAGACUAACAGUGAAAUGCUUGGUAAACAACAGGUGUAGACUAACAGUGAAAUGCUUGGUAAACAACAGGUGUGGACUAACAGUGAAAUGCUUGGUAAACAACAGGUGUAGACUAACAGUGAAAUGCUUGGUAAACAACAGGUGUGGACUAACAGUGAAAUGCUUGGUAAACAACAGGUGUGGACUAACAGUGAAAUGCUUGGUAAACAACAGGUGUGGACUAACAGUGAAAUGCUUGGUAAACAACAGGUGUGGACUAACAGUGAAAUGCUUGGUAA